ACGUAGGGACCAAGCGUUGUCCGGAUUUAUUGGGCGUAAAGAGCUCGUAGGCGGUUCAGUCAGUCGGGUGUGAAAACUUCGGGCUUAACUCGAAGCAUGCAUCCGAUACUGCUGUGACUUGAGUCCGGUAGGGGAGUGGGGAAUUCCUGGUGUAGCGGUGAAAUGCGCAGAUAUCAGGAGGAACACCGGUGGCGAAGGCGCCACUCUGGGCCGGUACUGACGCUGAGGAGCGAAAGCGUGGGUAGCAAACAGGA
rnacentral:rRNA from 1 species